CAGUUUCAAAAAAAUGCUUCACCUGCUGUUAGUCAGCCUUCCCUUACUGUUAAAAAAGUACCUAAAGAUUAUCAGUGUAUAAAGAGAAAGGAUUUAUUUUGGCUCACAGUUCUGGUGGGGUUAGCCCAAGAUCGAUUGGCCUGGGCUUGUAACAGCACAUCCAAACAGAAGCAGCUGGGGGAGCAAAAUCACUCACUUCAUAGCUGGAAAAGAGAAAGAGAAAGGAGAGGAGACAGGGGUUCCUGCCCCCGCUGCCUGAAGACCUUUCCGAAGACUUAAUUGCCUCUGGCUCACCCGACAGCUGCAAUAGCUCCAAGCAUUUUAUCUUCAUACAAUAGUG
rnacentral:lncRNA from 1 species